GUGCUGAAAGCAUCUAAGCACGAAACUUGCCCCGAGAUGAGUUCUCCCUGACUCCUUGAGAGUCCUGAAGGAACGUUGAAGACUACGACGUUGAUAGGCUGGGUGUGUAAGCGUAGCGAUACGUUGAGCUAACCAGUACUAAUGAACCGUGAGGCUUAACCUUACAACGCCGAAG
rnacentral:rRNA from 1 species